rnacentral:rRNA from 1 species
UACGGAGGGUGCGAGCGUUGUCCGGAAUCAUUGGGCGUAAAGGGCGCGUAGGUGGCCCGGUCAGUCUUUGGUGAAAGCGCGGGGCUCAACCCUGCGUCGGCCAGGGAUACUGCCGCGGCUGGAGUACUGCAGGGGAGACUGGAAUUCCUGGUGUAGCGGUGGAAUGCGCAGAUAUCAGGAGGAACACCGGUGGCGAAGGCGGGUCUCUGGGCAGUAACUGACGCUGAGGAGCGAAAGCGUGGGGAGCGAACAGG